rnacentral:rRNA from 1 species
AGAGUUUGAUCCUGGCUCAGAUUGAACGCUGGCGGCAGGCUUAACACAUGCAAGUCGAGCGGUAACAGAAAGUAGCUUGCUACUUUGCUUUAGAGCGGCGGACGGGUGAGGAACGCGUGGGAAUCUACCCAGUAGCGGGGGGUAACUUGUGGAAACGCAAGCUAAUACCGCAUACGCCCUAAGGGGGGAAGUAGGGGGGAUCUUCGAACCUUACACUAUUGGAUGAGCCCGCGUCGGAUUAGCUAGUUGGUGAGGUAAAGGCUCACCAAGGCAACGAUCCGUAGCUGGUCUGAGAGGAUGAUCAGCCACACUGGGACUGAGACACGGCCCAGACUCCUACGGGAGGCAGCAGUGGGGAAUAUUGGACAAUGGGCGCAAGCCUGAUCCAGCCAUACCGCGUGUGUGAAGAAGGCUCUAGGGUUGUAAAGCACUUUAAGUUGGGAGGAAAGGGUGAUGGUCAAUAUCCAUUAUCUGUGACGUUAGCCUACAAAAUAAGCACCGGCAAACUUCGUGCCAGCAGCCGCGGUAAUACGAAGGGUGCGAGCGUUAAUCGGAAUUACUGGGCGUAAAGAGCACGUAGGUGGUUUAGUAAGCGGAAUGUGAAAGCCCAGGGCUCAACCUUGGAACUGCAUUCCGAACUGCUAGGCUAGAGUAUGGUAGAGGUAAGCGGAAUUUCCUGUGUAGCGGUGAAAUGCGUAGAUAUAGGAAGGAACAUCAGUUGCGAAGGCGGCUUACUGGACCAAUACUGACACUGAGGUGCGAAAGCGUGGGUAGCGAACAGGAUUAGAUACCCUGGUAGUCCACGCCGUAAACGAUGUCUACUAGCCGUUGGGAGGCUUGACCUCUUAGUGGCGCAGCUAACGCGUUAAGUAGACCGCCUGGGGAGUACGGCCGCAAGGUUAAAACUCAAAUGAAUUGACGGGAGCCCGCACAAGCGGUGGAGCAUGUGGUUUAAUUCGAUGCAACGCGAAGAACCUUACCUGGCCUUGACAUGUAGCGAACUUUCCAGAGAUGCUGAGGUGCCUUCGGGAACUGUGAGACAGGUGCUGCAUGGCUGUCGUCAGCUCGUGUUGUGAAAUGUUGGGUUAAGUCCCGCAACGAGCGCAACCCUUAUACUUAGUUGCCAGCACGUAAUGGUGGGAACUCUAAGGAGACUGCCGGUGACAAACCGGAGGAAGGUGGGGAUGACGUCAAGUCAUCAUGGCCCUUAUGGGCAGGGCUACACACGUGCUACAAUGGGUGGUACAGAGGGAUGCCAACUCGCGAGAGGGAGCUAAUCCCAGAAAACCAUUCGUAGUCCGGAUUGCAGUCUGCAACUCGACUGCAUGAAGUCGGAAUCGCUAGUAAUCGCGGAUCAGAACGCCGCGGUGAAUACGUUCCCGGGCCUUGUACACACCGCCCGUCACACCAUGGAAGUGGGUUGCACCAGAAGUAGUUAGUCUAACCCUCGGGAGGACGAUUACCACGGUGUGAUUCAUGACUGGGGUGAAGUCGUAACAAGGUAACCA